rnacentral:sRNA from 1 species
AUGGCUGUCGUCAGCUCGUGUCGUGAGAUGUUGGGUUAAGUCCCGCAACGAGCGCAACCCUUGCCAUUAGUUGCUACAUUCAGUUGAGCACUCUAAUGGGACUGCCGGUGACAAACCGGAGGAAGGUGGGGAUGACGUCAAGUCCUCAUGGCCCUUAUGGGUAGGGCUACACACGUCAUACAAUGGCGGAUACAGAGGGUUGCCAACCCGCGAGGGGGAGCUAAUCUCAGAAAGUCCGUCGUAGUCCGGAUUGCAGUCUGCAACUCGACUGCAUGAAGUCGGAAUCGCUAGUAAUCGCGGAUCAGCAUGUCGCGGUGAAUACGUUCCCGGGCCUUGUACACACCGCCCGUCACACCAUGGGAGUGGGGUUCACCAGAAGCAGGUUGCCUAACCGCAAGGAGGGCGCCUACCACGGUGAGCUUCAUGACUGGGGUGAAGUCGUAACAAGGUAGCCGUAUCGGAAGGUGCGGCUGGAUCACCUCCUUUCAAGAGCAUGCCCAAGCUCCAGCGUCCACACUUAUCGGCUGUACGAAAUACUGACUGGAAGCGUCCUGGCGGCAAUAGCACCACGCGCCGGGGCAGGCCCGGUUUGCAAGCCGUCAGGGUCUAUGCCGCGCGGGUCUGUAGCUCAGCUGGUUAGAGCACCGUCUUGAUAAGGCGGGGGUCGAUGGUUCGAACCCAUCCAGACCCACCAACGAGCUCCCAGGCAAUGCGGCUCGGGGCCAUAGCUCAGUUGGGAGAGCGCCUGCUUUGCAAGCAGGAGGUCAUCGGUUCGAUCCCGAUUGGCUCCACCAGUUUUCCAGAGGGCAACGCAAAAUUGCGGCCGUAGUUUCGACGCGAUUUUGCGAUGCGCUUUGUGCAUCGGCUGUUCUUUAACAACUCGGAUGAAGUAAAGCGACCUCGAAAUGUUUCUGUUUCGAGGUCACUGGGUGAUUGUAUGUAACAAGCGCUCCCUGUAAUCCUUUACGUCAGUGUUCAGGGUUAUAGGGUCAAGUGAAUAAGUGCAUGUGGUGGAUGCCUUGGCGACAACAGGCGAUGAAGGACGUUGCAGCCUGCGAUAAGCUUCGGGGAGCUGGCAAGCAAGCCUUGAUCCGAAGAUUUCCGAAUGGGGAAACCCGG